rnacentral:ncRNA from 1 species
UGAACAACUGUGAACGGGAAGAGUACGCGCGCCUGUAACCGAUAGAGAACGCGAGCCAUAGGCUGGAAGCUCGCCCGGUAGAAAGCGCAGAAAGUCACCCGGAAGUUGCAAGGCUGAAAUGUGAAAGCAAAUUAAGCCGCGCCGGAGGCGUCCGUUAUCCCGCAUGAGUGUUCAGGCCGCGCCGGUGCGCCUGAAAAUCAAGGUGGUACCACGGAAACCCUCUUUCGUCCUUGCG